rnacentral:lncRNA from 1 species
CGCGGAUGAGCCGGGCGACGGACGUGAUGGUGCAGCACGUGGAGAACCUGAAGAGGCAUCACUUGCGGGAGCACGCGGAGCUGGAGGAGAUGAAGCGGCUGAUCCAGCAGAACUCCCGCAACCGGCAGCUGGCCGAGACCAGGGAUGAUGCAGAGCAGAGGCUGAGGCAUCCCCUGAUGAGGACGUUCCAGCAGGUGUCGGCUCGCCGAAGAGUCAGCAUUGCCGUCAUCCCCAAGCAGCUGCUGCACGUUCAAAGCCAAGAAAACGGGCAAGCACCCAAGGAUGAGGCAGGGAAGCCGGCAGGGGAGAGCACCCUGAGUGCAGAGAGGUACCGUGACCCUCCCACAGAGCCCCGGGGAGAUGGAAAGGAUGGACCCCGCUGCUCCGCCGUGGGGAAGGCAGGCAGAGGCACAUCAGCUCGGGGCAUGACUGCUUCCUUUCUGCUGUGCAGGCAACGCUGCUGCCUCCAGGAGGACUCCACCGACGAGUGCUUCAUCCUGCACGUCAGCCCCUCCAGCUCCUUGCACCAAAGCCUGGAGGGCAUGGGCAGUGCUCAGCCUCAGGGGGCAGCAGCCCCCUGUGCCGAAGGGAGCGAGCCCGAGCUGCGGAGAAGGAGAAGUGCCGGCAAGAGCAUGAAGCAGG